rnacentral:lncRNA from 1 species
AGCUUCUAUAGUAGAUGGUUUCCGCUUGCAGCAUCAGUGCUCUGGCACCCAACAACAGUAGACCCGUCACAACCUCGAAAACAUCCGAGCUUCUCCUAGAUCGAUGAGAUAGAGAGCCAUUCCGCUCCAUCAGACGUCCCAGCCGAGCUUCAGCCGACAGAUCCGAACUCACUGGUAAGUUGCGACAAUGGCUGCUACCCUACUCCACUCUCUGCAACGGAUUCCGUAUGGUUUUACCACUCUCUGGCAAGUCACGACAACGGACACAACUCCACUCCCCGUAACAAACUCCACGUGGCCCUAAACGGUCCCUGACGCCACUACUCUCUGUAACGAACUCCGUGUGGCUCUGAACGGCCCACUACCAGGCGGAUGCAGACGUCGCUGUCAAUCAGUUACACUCUCCGUCUAUAAAAAGGGACCCCC